AGAGAAAGAUCAGGAGACCCGCAUCCAUCACUGGCACCGCAAGAAUCAACCAUGUACACUUCAAAAGGAACUGAAGAGGUAAACCUAGAAGGAGCAACGGAGAUAAAGGUGGAGACGGUAGAUCACCGGUCACCAGCAGGCUAGGACCAAGCACCGAAGCAGGAGCACGUGCGGAUGAUUCACGAGCCACAUGAUGAUGGAGGUUCUGGCACCGGCGCUGGAGGCAGCGUCUUAGCAAGUGCAUCUGCUGCAGUAGCGCACGCUGUUCAAUCAGCAAAAGAUGCCAUCUCCGGUAACAAAUCCACGAAAUGACUGGUAUUCUCGUGUUACCUCAACACGUUUGUUUCACCGAACACUUGAAAUUAAAAUAAAGUUUAAACAUUAAGACCAUGUUCAAUCCAUGAUGCAGAUCUAUUGAGGAUCACUGUUUUGGGAAAGUAGCACUCUUAUUCCUUCCGCAAUAAAAUGGGGUUUUUCUUAA